GUCGAGAAUCUUUCACAAUGGGGGCAACCCUGAUGGAGCGACGCCGCGUGGAGGAUAAGGUCUUCGGAUUGUAAACUCCUGUCAUGCGUGAACAAGGUUGCUUGGUUAAUACCUGGGCAAAUUGAUGGUAACGCAAGAGGAAGAGACGGCUAACUCUGUGCCAGCAGCCGCGGUAAUACAGAGGUCUCAAGCGUUGUUCGGAAUCACUGGGCGUAAAGGGUGCGUAGGUGGCGUGGUAAGUCAGAUGUGAAAGCCCGGGGCUCAACCGCGGAACUGCAUCCGAUACUGCCAUGCUAGAGUACUGGAGAGGUGACUAGAAUUCUCGGUGUAGCAGUGAAAUGCGUAGAUAUCGAGAGGAAUACCAAAGGCGUAGGCAGGUCACUGGACAGUUACUGACACUGAGGCACGAAGGCCAGGGGAGCGAACGGGAUUAGAUACCCGGGUAGUCC
rnacentral:rRNA from 1 species